CUCUAACGACUACCACCCCCACGCAUGCUAUUAGCUUUUUAUUUCAGACGCGUGAGGUGCUGCAGAUUUCAGGCAUAUUUAGGCGAAUUGGAGCCAGCCGAACCGUAGAUGUUACACAAGUGUCUCGGCACUCGUUGGAAGCGCUUUCCCCACAUUUGCCCUUUGCUUGUGCCAGAGCCCAGGAGGUGCAUGGCCCCUGUCUGGGCAGGCCACGCAUACCCCCGCACCUGAACUGCCAACGUUAAAACGCUUUUCUCAACAAGCAACUGACGUACAGAGAUUGCAUGCAAACACACAGCAGAUCCUUAAAGAAUUUCAGCAAACUAUUAAAAAAAACCCAACCAAGCCCACUCGCCUUCCCCAGAGUUCUUGCAAGCACAAAAAGGGGCCUAUAUUCACCAAAUAAAUUAUGCGUCACAAGUUCUUCAUCCAGCUCCUCUUGGAGCGAGCGAUGGCACUUACGGAGCCGUUGCUGCAGCCCGGUGCUGCCAGUGUGGGCACUAAGCAGUUAAGAAAUGGAUGUUUCUGCCAGGAAAAUCAUUUUAGCCAUGUGUAAAUUACAGAAGAAGAAGAGAAAAUUGUACCGUUUCACUGGCUUUAUAUUUUUAGGGAAUUACCCACAGGAAAGCGCUGCAGGAACAUUUUCCCAGGAGCAGCAAGAUGAGAUGGAUUUGAGCAGUGGGAUUUGGCAAGAACCAGCAGCCUUGUGGUUAGUGCUCCAACAAGUGAGACUGACUGGUACAGGAGAGGGACAGUUAUGGUUAAUCAGAUACAAAUAUGUUUUAUCCUACAUUCUGCCCUGAGCCUGGGAGCCAAGGAGGACUGUAAGAGUGGAAAAUGUACAGGUGUUUAUUAGUGAGGUAGCCAACCUUCCAGCUACAACUAUCUCAUGACGAGUCCUCAGAAAACAACUCCAGAUUGUCCUUUUCACCAUAAUCACUGCUUUGAUGGGAAGGACAGAAAGUUAAAAAUCACAGACUCUGUUUUUCGUUCAGAAACCAUUCCUACUUCAUUUUUAGCAGGAAUGCAGGAAGAGGAGUAUGUUGUAACAUUGGUAACAUGGGAACU